rnacentral:rRNA from 1 species
GUAGGUGGCAAGCGUUGUCCGGAAUUAUGGGCGUAAAGCGCGCGCAGGCGGGUCCUUUAAGUCUGAUGUGAAAGCCCACGGGCUCAACCGUGGAGGGUCAUUGGAAACUGGGGGACUUGAGUACAGAAGAGGAAAGCGGAAUUCCAAGUGUAGCGGUGAAAUGCGUAGAGAUUUGGAGGAACACCAGUGGCGAAGGCGGCUUUCUGGUCUGUAACUGACGCUGAGGCGCGAAAGCGUGGGGAGCAAACAGGAUUAGAUACCCUGGUAGUCCACGCCGUAAACGAUGAGUGCUAAGUGUUAGGGGGGUUUCCGCCCCUUAGUGCUGCAGCUAACGCAUUAAGCACUCCGCCUGGGGAGUACGGCCGCAAAGGCUG